GACGAACGCUGGCGGCGUGCUUAACACAUGCAAGUCGAACGGUGAUGCUCCAGCUUGCUGGAGUGGAUCAGUGGCGAACGGGUGAGUAACACGUGAGCAACCUGCCCCAGACUCUGGAAUAAGCGCUGGAAACGGCGUCUAAUACUGGAUACGAAACUGGCCCGCAUGGGCAUGGUUUGGAAAGUUUUUCGGUUUGGGAUGGGCUCGCGGCCUAUCAGCUUGUUGGUGAGGUAAUGGCUCACCAAGGCGACGACGGGUAGCCGGCCUGAGAGGGCGACCGGCCACACUGGGACUGAGACACGGCCCAGACUCCUACGGGAGGCAGCAGUGGGGAAUAUUGCACAAUGGGCGAAAGCCUGAUGCAGCGACGCCGCGUGAGGGAUGACGGCCUUCGGGUUGUAAACCUCUUUCAGCAGGGAAGAAGCGAAAGUCACGGUACCUGCAGAAGAAGCACCGGCUAACUACGUG
rnacentral:rRNA from 1 species